rnacentral:rRNA from 1 species
AGCUAGGUCGUGCUCUAAGCGUAGUAACCAAAUUCUCGCUUCUGAAGCCGGCCCGGGUCCUGCCGUAAAACCCCCUAUAUUUUUCUGGUUGACCUCGGAUCAGGUAGGAAUACCCGCUGAACUUAAGCAUAUCAAUAAGCGGAGGAAAAGAAACCAACAGGGAUUGCCCUAGUAACGGCGAGUGAAGCGGCAACAGCUCAAAUUUGAAAUCUGGCCUUCGGGUCCGAGUUGUAAUUUGCAGAGGAUGCUUUUGGCGCGGUGCCUUCCGAGUUCCCUGGAACGGGACGCCUUAGAGGGUGAGAGCCCCGUACGGUUGGACACCAAGCCUCUGUAAAGCUCCUUCGACGAGUCGAGUAGUUUGGGAAUGCUGCUCUAAAUGGGAGGUAAAUUUCUUCUAAAGCUAAAUACCGGCCAGAGACCGAUAGCGCACAAGUAGAGUGAUCGAAAGAUGAAAAGCACUUUGAAAAGAGGGUUAAAUAGCACGUGAAAUUGUUGAAAGGGAAGCGUUUACGGCCAGACCUUUUCCUGGCGGAUCAUCUGGUGUUCUCACCAGUGCACUUCGCCAGGUUUAGGCCAGCAUCGGCUUCUGUAGGGGGAUAAAAGCAGUGGGAAAGUAGCUCCCUCGGGAGUGUUAUAGCCCUAAGCAUAAUACC